rnacentral:lncRNA from 1 species
GAGCAAAGGAGGGGCUUCACGAGAGGUAAAUCGCAGGUAAGUUCAAUAAUUAAUAUAUGUGUUUAUGGACUAAUCUAGUUGUUUUGCAGAGCGUUUUCCUUUUUUGCAGGUUAGAUUCCGUAGUCCGGGUUAGGAUCGGAUUCUAAUAGUGAAUUCGUAGCCCCGACAGGAGUCAGAUUCUAUUAGUGAAUCAACAGGUUCUGCAUCCAAGGCGAGGAUCGGAUCCUGAUAGUGGAUCUGUAGCUCUGGUCAGAAUCAGACUCUGAUAUUGAGUCGGUCUGCUUUGUCGCUUUGGCCUUAGUAGACCAGAGGUCAUUUUGACGCUUCGGCCUUAAUGAUCUCAAAGGGGAGAAUCCCAAGUUCUUCCUGACACUUCUGUCGCUUCGGCCAGAAGUCGUCAAAGUCGGG